UUUUUUUGUGUGAAUUGCACAUCAUGUACUCCUGAAAAAUCCCACGCAGAGAGACCCUUACUCAAGUCUUGGGAAAUCGCGGACCCCAGACACAGAGAGACCA
rnacentral:pre_miRNA from 14 species